rnacentral:sRNA from 1 species
AUGUAAGAUGAAAUAACUUUGCAAUCUUUGACCAGAAAAUCGGUCGUAGUCCGAUUAUAUCAUUGUGUCUGAUUAUAUGCAAUAUUUAAGAACCUGGUACAACUGUCCAGGUUCUUUUUGGU